AACUUCCUGCCUGGUGCGUGGACCGUUGCAAAAUAACCCUACAAUUUUAAAUCGGGAGCCUGGGCUCCGGCGGCGGACUGCAGACCUCCCGGCCUUGUGCCGGACGAAGGGAGCACGAACCCGCUGGGAGGGCACCCACCUGCUUAGUGGUAGCAGGUUAUCUUGGCACAUUACGGCCAGGCGGGCCUUUU
rnacentral:other from 1 species